rnacentral:lncRNA from 1 species
AAGGAAACAAGAAAACGUUUAAAAAUGCUACAUUGGGUGUAAAAGUUGGAGCUCUUCAUUGACUAAGUCCAGUGUCCAUCACCAUCAACUGGGAUGAGGAUGAGUGAAGGUGAGAAGAUUGUAUUCGGAUCUCACCCAUUGUCAGGUUUUCAGAAGAUGUAAAGGCUCAGCACAGAAGUUUGUUUAACGAGAGAUUUUGCUCUUUCAUGUUUUUUAAGAUGCAAAACUAAAACAGAUAUUGUUCAUUUAUGUGAGAAAGGGGAAGUGUAGAAGGAAACACAUGCGCAGAUUUUUUUUAAGCAAAACUAUUUGUGUAGAGGAGCAGCAAAAUAUGUUGAGGGUGUAAAAGAAUCUACUAGGGCCGCGGGGUGGGGGGGGGUUUCGUUUUGAUUUUCCUACCUUUUUGGUGUACAAAAUGGUUAGUCCUUUUGUCUCCACUAGCCAAAGAAAAGACAGCUUUUGGAUAGAUUGUAGCCAUGAGUAGUAGUUUUAGUGUUCUUAUUUGCCUUAGGUCUAAAGAAAUGGUUGUUGGCAUUAGAGAGAAUUUAGUUCUUUCCAAUUACAAUUCUGUGGCACAUUUCUGUUAAGAUUUUAUCUCACAUACAUUGAAAUGUUGCAUAAGAAGGUGAUGCAGGUUUUUGAUGGUUGCAGUAACACGGGCUGACAAUCAUGGUUUAUGAGGGGACCUGUUAGUUCAGAGUUGCAGAUGUUAGUCUGGAAGCCCAUAUAGUUGCUGAAAGGAAGGUACUCUCUCGUGGCUCAAUUAAUACGCAGUAGAGCCUUCUUUAAUUAGCAAAUAUUGGAGUUUAUGCAUUCCUCUUGCCUCCUAGCCCACUCAAAUGUUUAUGGAACUUCUGAAACAUUUUCUUUUUUCCCUUCUCGCAAUUGGAAGAUUUAAUAUGGUUCUGCAUCUUGCUUGCUUUCAUUGGAAUACGGUUUAAUGUGCUACAACUGCAGAAAUCAUUGCAUCCCAGCUUUCUGCAUCACUUGAAAGCUGAGUCAUGCCAUCUUUUGUUGAACUUCAAUGGCAUAUUUGUUUGUCCUUUAAGCACCUUCUCAACACGAAUAUGAGCGUUCUUAUGUGUGCACUUUCACCAGUUAGAUGUGUUUUUAGCUGUCCGUGAUGAUAUUGGCAGCAAUGCUAUCUAUGCCUGCAUGGAAGCCUGUUGAAAUUGGGAGUAUUACAUCGCCACCACGAGCCUCUGAAUCUGGUUGUUCGUAUUGUGUUGCAUUUUCCCGAGUCUUGGGUAGAAAGGCCAUUUUAUUGUUUAUCUGAAAACCAUGCUCAUUUGGGUCCUCCCAUUGCAGAUUAUUUUUACCGACAUGUAAGAUCCUUGGAAGCACCUAACUGUGCUGACACUUGCCCCUGUAUGUUUCUCAGGUAUGCCUUUCUUUUGGGUCAUAAACUUGGAAUGUUAAUCAAUAAAAUUUGAAUUCAGCAUCAGGUUUUCUAAAUUCAUUGCAUUUUGAACAAAACCAAUCACUAGAAAGCAGACUAACCUUUUUAUUUCAUUGCCUCCUUGAAGGAAAGUUACAACAGAGUAAAGGAAAAAGGAGAACGUCAAUUACAUAUAGACUAUAACUAUCAAACCCAUAUGGAUAGGAGCUGGAACAACUUAGCUGCGUCCCAGUCUACCCUUCAUGACAUGCCUUCUUAAACCUGGAAUAUGGAUAUUUGAGAUGUAAUCUUUCCAGUCUAUGUUCUCCACAUCAAAUCCAAACUUCCUUCUUUCUUCUUUAGACAUAUACCCCAUCAACAAGUGCGUGUUACUGUUGUCAAACCUGGCAUUUUUUUUUUUGUUUUGCUGUUAAUCUCAAAGCUAAGUCACACAUAUAGUUGCAUAACUGUAAGUUGGAAAAAAUUACCUUCCGCCGUAGAAAGUGUAUGGCUCAUACAGAUUGGCCAAGUAUUCUGCUUGCUCCACUGAUUUUCUGCAGAUGCUUUCGAGCUUUCCGGACAUCUUUCCACCUGGGUGAGGGCUAGCUGCUAGACCACUUCUGCUGAUUGCAUCUCUCCUAAGGUGAGUGGAAAAAUCUUCCAUAGACCUGAAUAGCUCCAUUUUCGGGACACGAAUUGGUUUCCCUUUCGAAUCAAAGCAUGGGGAGGAAUUGAAAUGCUCGUAAAGCAAUGUUGCAAGAUCCUUGAAAACUAGAGGGUUGACCACAGAUGAAGCAAUCUGAUAGAUAUUACUUCCUGAUUUUCCAGCUUCCCCGUGCUUUGCCAUGGCUGCUAAAAUGGCGUUAACGACCAUAUCUGCUGGAACCUAGAUAAAAGCCCUUUGUCAUGACAAAUGAUGUUGAAACAUAGCUAAUCAAUUAGGCUUACAAGUUCUGGAUUUGCAAACAGUCUACUCACAACAUCAAGGACACCAUUGGGGUCUGCCAGAAACCCCGAAAGCUGCCCUUUUCCAUAGUACAGGAGAACAGGAUCCAUCAUCCUGAAUGGACAGUUCUAGUUUAAUCUUGAGUGUCGCAUAAAUUUUUCCAUCCAUUUGAAAUUUUAGGUUAUUCAGUGACAUAUAGUAUCAAACCUGCUUCCUUCAAUCCAUCCUGGAAAUGGUUCCCUGUAAGUGCUCUCGAUAACACUCGGUCGAAUGAUCACAACUGGAAUGUCACCUCUUAAACUAUCAAUCAUCAUUUCUCCCAUAGCUUUUGUGAACACGUACGUGUCUUGCCAUCCAAAUUUGUUUGCCCUGAAAAUUGUAACGAAGAUUGAUACAUAUUUCAGCUUGUUCUUUAACCUAAUCAGACGCAAUCUGGUGAAGUUUUUUCGUUGAUUACCUCUCUAGACCAAGACUCUUCAUCCUUUGAGCCAAAACGCUAUCAUCAAUAGCUUGUUUUGAUUCUAUAACUAACUUUAUCUCAUCUUCAACAUUCAAGGUGGGGAGGAAUAUGCAGUCUGCUCCAAAGAGGAGACUCUCUCUUGCUAUACUCUCACCAGCAGAAAAUGGCUUCUCCAUAACUGUUCCUUGUCGCCGCCCAUUAAC